CCCUACGGGGUGCAGCAGGCGAGAAAACUUUGCAAUGUGCGAAAGCACGACAAGGUUAAUCCGAGUGGUUUCUGCUAAAGAGACCUUUUGUUAGUCCUAGAAACACUGAUGAAUAAGGGGUGGGCAAGUUCUGGUGUCAGCCGCCGCGGUAAAACCAGCACCUCAAGUGGUCAGGAUGAUUAUUGGGCCUAAAGCAUCCGUAGCCGGCUAUGUAAGUUUUCGGUUAAAUCUGUGCGCUUAACGUACAGGCUGCCGGGAAUACUGCAUAGCUAGGAAGUGGGAGAGGUAGACGGUACUCGGUAGGAAGGGGUAAAAUCCUUUGAUCUAUUGAUGACCACCUGUGGCGAAGGCGGUCUACCAGAACACGUUCGACGGUGAGGGAUGAAAGCUGGGGGAGCAAACCGGAUUAGAUACCCGGGUAGUCCCAGCUGUAAACUAUGCAAACUCAAUGAUGCAUUGGCUUGUGGCCAAUGCAGUGUUGCAGGGAAGCCGUUAAGUUUGCCGCCUGGGAAGUACGUACGCAAGUAUGAAACUUAAAGGAAUUGGCGGGGGAGCACCACAAGGGGUGAAGCCUGCGGUUCAAUUGGAGUCAACGCCAGAAAUCUUACCCGGAGAGACAGCAGAAUGAAGGUCAAGCUGAAGACUUUACCAGACAAGCUGAGAAGAAGUGCAUGGCC
rnacentral:rRNA from 1 species